rnacentral:rRNA from 1 species
GAUGAACGCUGGCGGCGUGCCUAAUACAUGCACGUCGAGCGAACAGACGAGGAGCUUGCUCCUCUGACGUUAGCGGCGGACGGGUGAGUAACACGUGGAUAACCUACCUAUAAGACUGGGAUAACUUCGGGAAACCGGAGCUAAUACCGGAUAAUAUAUUGAACCGCAUGGUUCAAUAGUGAAAGACGGUUUUGCUGUCACUUAUAGAUGGAUCCGCGCCGCAUUAGCUAGUUGGUAAGGUAACGGCUUACCAAGGCAACGAUGCGUAGCCGACCUGAGAGGGUGAUCGGCCACACUGGAACUGAGACACGGUCCAGACUCCUACGGGAGGCAGCAGUAGGGAAUCUUCCGCAAUGGGCGAAAGCUUGACGGAGCAACGCCGCGUGAGUGAUGAAGGUCUUCGGAUCGUAAAACUCUGUUAUUAGGGAAGAACAAAUGUGUAAGUAACUAUGCACGUCUUGACGGUACCUAAUCAGAAAGCCACGGCUAACUACGUG